rnacentral:misc_RNA from 1 species
GAUGAAGAACGUAGCGAAAUGCGAUAAGUAAUGUGAAUUGCAGAAUUCAGUGAAUCAUCGAAUCUUUGAACGCACAUUGCGCCCCCUGGUAUUCCGGGGGGCAUGCCUGUUCGAGCGUCAUUUCACCACUCAAGCCUCGCUUGGUAUUGGGCAACGCGGUCCGCCGCGUGCCUCAAAUCGACCGGCUGGGUCUUCUGUCCCCUAAGCGUUGUGGAAACUAUUCGCUAAAGGGUGCUCGGGAGGCUACGCCGUAAAACAAACCCAUUUCUAAGGUUGACCUCGGAUCAGGUAGGGAUACCCGCUGAACUUAAGCAUAUCAAUAAGCGGAAGA